UACGAAGGGAGCUGGCGUUGUUCGGAAUCACUGGGCGUAAAGCGCACGUAGGCGGAUGUGUCAGUCAGGGGUGAAAUCCCGGAGCUCAACUUCGGAACUGCCUCUGAUACAGCACGUCUUGAGUCCGAUAGAGGUGGGUGGAAUUCCUAGUGUAGAGGUGAAAUCCGUAGAUAUUAGGAAGAACACCGGUGGCGAAGGCGGCCCACUGGUCCGGUACUGACGCUGAGGUGCGAAAGCGUGGGGAGCAAACAGG
rnacentral:rRNA from 1 species